AUUUGAAACGCUGGCGGCAGGCCUUAACACAUGCAAGUCGAGCGGUAACAGAUCCAGCUUGCUGGAUGCUGACGAGCGGCGGACGGGUGAGUAAUGCAUAGGAAUUUGCUCGAUAGUGGGGGAUAACCUGGGGAAACCCAGGCUAAUACCGCAUACGUCCUACGGGAGAAAGGGGGCUCCGGCUCCCGCUAUGGGAUGAGCCUAUGUCGGAUUAGCUAGUUGGUGAGGUAACGGCUCACCAAGACCACGAUCCGUAGCUGGUCUGAGAGGAUGAUCAGCCACAUCGGGGCCGAGACACGGCCCGAACUCCUACGGGAGGCAGCAGUGGGGAAUAUUGGACAAUGGGGGCAACCCUGAUCCAGCCAUGCCGCGUGUGUGAAGAAGGCCCUCGGGUUGUAAAGCACUUUCAGCGAGGAAGAACGCCUAGCGGUUAAUACCCGCUAGGAAAGACAUCACUCGCAGAAGAAGCACCGGCUAACUCCGUGCCAGCAGCCGCGGUAAUACGGAGGGUGCAAGCGUUAAUCGGAAUUACUGGGCGUAAAGCGCGCGUAGGUGGCUUGAUAAGCCGGUUGUGAAAGCCCCGGGCUCAACCUGGGAACGGCAUCCGGAACUGUCAAGCUAGAGUGCAGGAGAGGAAGGUAGAAUUCCCGGCGUAGCGGUGAAAUGCGUAGAGAUCGGGAGGAAUACCAGUGGCGAAGGCGGCCUUCUGGACUGACACUGACACUGAGGUGCGAAAGCAUGGGUAGCAAACAGGAUUAGGUACCCUGGUAGUCCACGCCGUAAACGAUGUCGACCAGCCGUUGGGUGCCUAGCGCACUUUGUGGCGAAGUUAACGCGAUAAGUCGACCGCCUGGGGAGUACGGCCGCAAGGUUAAAACUCAAAUGAAUUGACGG
rnacentral:rRNA from 1 species